rnacentral:lncRNA from 1 species
UAUAUAUAUAUAUUUUCUCUCAAACUAGCGAAGGGAUCGAAGGGAGAAGUGUCAUUUUCUCACAUAUACUUCUUCACAUAAAAGAAACAAGCAUUCACUUCAUACCUAGCUAGCUAAUUAUCAUUUAUUCCUUCUCUCUCCUCUCCAUCUCCAUAUAAUCCCAAAUCUCUGCAACUACUCCACCCCCACAAGUUUUUGUCAUCCAUGAAAUGAAUCUCAUCUGCAAUGAAAACCCACCCAGAAACUAGUUAUCUCACAUAAUCUUGAAAACCCAGAUCAUAAAAAUCCCAACAAGCCUUUCUAGCUCAUCUUUUGACAUAUUUUUAGUAGUGCUAGCUACAAUAUAUAUAUANNNNNNNN